AUUGAACGCUAGCGGGAUGCCUUACACAUGCAAGUCGAACGGCAGCACGGACUUCGGUCUGGUGGCGAGUGGCGAACGGGUGAGUAAUGUAUCGGAACGUGCCCAGUAGCGGGGGAUAACUACUCGAAAGAGUAGCUAAUACCGCAUACGCCCUACGGGGGAAAGGGGGGGACCGCAAGACCUCUCACUAUUGGAGCGGCCGAUAUCGGAUUAGCUAGUUGGUGGGGUAAAGGCCCACCAAGGCGACGAUCCGUAGCUGGUUUGAGAGGACGACCGGCCACACUGGGACUGAGAAACGGCCCAGACUCCUACGGGAGGCAGCAGUGGGGAAUUUUGGACAAUGGGGGCAACCCUGAUCCAGCCAUCCCGCGUGUGCGAUGAAGGCCUUCGGGUUGUAAAGCACUUUUGGCAGGAAAGAAAUCGCACGGGCUAAUACCUCGUGUGGAUGACGGUACCUGCAGAAUAAGCACCGGCUAACUACGUGCCAGCCGCCGCGGUAA
rnacentral:rRNA from 1 species